rnacentral:rRNA from 1 species
AUUGAACGCUGGCGGCAGGCCUAACACAUGCAAGUCGAGCGGAAGACGGGAGCUUGCUCCUUGAUUCAGCGGCGGACGGGUGAGUAAUGCCUAGGAAUCUGCCUGGUAGUGGGGGACAACGAUUCGAAAGGAACGCUAAUACCACAUACGUCCUACGGGAGAAAGCAGGGGACCUUCGGGCCUUGCGCUAUCAGAUGAGCCUAGGUCGGAUUAGCUAGUUGGUGGGGUAAUGGCUCACCAAGGCGACGAUCCGUAACUGGUCUGAGAGGAUGAUCAGUCACACUGGAACUGAGGCACGGUCCAGACUCCUACGGGAGGCAGCAGUGGGGAAUAUUGGACAAUGGGCGAAAGCCUGAUGCAGCCAUGCCGCGUGUGUGAAGAAGGUCUUCGGAUUGUAAAGCACUUUAAGUUGGGAGGAAGGGCAGUGGGUUAAUACCUUGCUGUUUUGACGUUACCGACAGAAUAAGCACCGGCUAACUCUGUGCCAGCCGCCGCCGUAA